CCUACGGGAGGCAGCAGUGAGGAAUAUUGGUCAAUGGCCGGAAGUCUGAACCAGCCAAGCCGCGUGAAGGAUGACUGCCCUAUGGGUUGUAAACCGCUUUUAUACGGGAGUAAACAAUGCUACGUGUAUCGUGAUGCCUGUACCUUAUGAAUAAGCAUCGGCUAACUCCGUGCCAGCAGCCGCGGUAAUACGGAGGAUCCGAGCGUUAUCCGGAUUUAUUGGGUUUAAAGGGUGCGUAGGCGGUUUGAUAAGUUAGUGGUGAAAUGUCGGGGCUUAACCCCUAAUUUGCCUUUAAUACUGUUAGACUAGAGAACAGAUGAGGUAGGCGGAAUAUAUGGAGUAGCGGUGAAAUGCUUAGAGAUAACACAGAACACCGAUAGCGAAGGUAGCUUACCAAACU
rnacentral:rRNA from 1 species